GCCUGUGCAAUUUUUUAUUUAAUCGCUUUGGCAAACGGAAUUUAGAUGCAAAUACUUGCGUGAGGAAUCCGGUUGUUUAAAUUGACCCAGAGGCUCACACAAUGUAUUAGAAACUAUCUAAAUCCGGAUGAUGACAAAGGGAGAGACCCUGGAUGGCGUAACCAAGACAAACGUGGAUCGCUCUUCCUAGUCAGACUCAGCCUCGAGCUGGUGGGGCGACGGGGUUGGGGACGCCAUGCUAGAAGGGAUUGUUUUUGGAGUCUGUGGUCCAGCCACCACGAAGGGGCCCAGGUUAGUUUCUUUGCUCUCACUCCAUUGGUUAGAACUGAACAAGUCCGCCCUCGCCCAAGGGAGGCUGGGAAAUGCAGUCCUUUUGCUCCACAUGCUGCCCGGCUAAAAGGGGCACUCCCGCAGGAAGCAACCAGAAAGUUCUGCUUUACAAGAGCUCACUUUCCCAAGCUCGGGAGCUUUUACUGCCCUCCCAUACCCACCGCCAUGGCUAGAGACCCAGGGAGGACUUUCUGCGCCUGUGCUUUCUGGGCAGAAAGUCAAGAGGACAAGGUGGGCGGAUAUCAGGCGCCGUGGAAGAGGGCUGGCAGGCUGCAGUACGUCCAACCCAGGGAGAUGGCAGAGAGGCAGCAGUGGCCACAGCCGGGUAUGUGGUCACAGCACACAGAGGGCAAUGUGGAAGACUCCAGCUGGGCUACCAUGGAGCGCUCCCCUGGGAAGAGGGAGAAAUCUUAGGUGACUCACCGUAAGUCACCCAGGACAGGCUGAGCCGGAGUGUGUCCACUAAUGUCAAGGCCUGCCCAGAGAAGAGUGACCCAUCCAGUGCCCUCAGCCCAGGGAACCUGAGCUGUGGUGUCCCUUCCAAGGCUUCCUGGACAAGAUUCAAGCUUAUGCUGCCAGCCAGCAGCCCCCACAGCAAACAUACCCAUGCCAGACACAGUGCCCGGCUUCCCUUGCAGUAGCCCUUUGAGACAGACCCUCAUAUUUGCAGAGAAACUGUCAUGCAUAAUUAUUCUGUGUAUGUGUGUGUGGUGUAUGGUGAGUACAUAUGAAUGCCAGGUGUUCACACCCAUGACCACACAUGCAGAGGCCAGAGGAAGACAUCGGAUGUUGUUGUCACUCUGCUUUAUGCUGUAGGGCAAGAUCUUUUGCUGACCCAGAGGCUGGCUGUUUUAGCUAAUCUAACUGGCUUGCAAGUUCCCAGAAUUCAUCUGUCUCUGUCCCCCAACACCGGGGUUACAGGCCUGCCCAGCUUAUUACCCAGUACUGGAUAAUCUAACUCAGGUCCUCGUGCUCGCCAACUGAGGCAUCUCCCCAGACCCAUUUAUUUUUGACGCUUUCAUGGAAGUAAUACUGUGUGGAUAUGUAAAUGGCCUCUAGCCUCCCCCUAGGGACAGUUCCUGAGGACCUUGGUAACCAGCUUUCUAGAGUACAGACCAUCAGUCUCCUACAUGCUACUAUUAAACCCUACCCCACAGACUUUGCCCAUUAGCACAAGAAAGGGGUGGAAUGACUAUAAACACCCUACCAUAACCCCCACCACAGCUGCCAAGGGGCUCUGGGAAAAGCAGGUGUGGGCCAAGUCCCAAGAACACCACACUCCUAGUAAGUUGCCGGGUUAUGCUGACAUGGCAGGGGACCACACUUUGAGAAAGCUCUGGCCAGGUGAUACCCUACAGAGUGUCAUGUUGGGCCAUAGGGAAGGUUCCUCUGGCCCAGAAAGCAUUCACCUUGCACCAUGGGAUGCCAGCUGCUGAGGGCCCAGCUGAUUGUGGACUUUGAGCACAGGUUGCAUGUAGAGGAAGGCGGGUGGAGAAUAGUAGCCCUGUUGGGGAGGAGAUACCCUACUUAGCCCACAGAGGUUCUGACAUGUGACCUCGAGACCCACAGGCCUU
ensembl:lncRNA